rnacentral:rRNA from 1 species
UACGUAGGGGGCAAGCGUUGUCCGGAAUCAUUGGGCGUAAAGAGCGUGUAGGCGGUUCGGUAAGUCGGCUGUGAAAGUCCAGGGCUCAACCCUCGGAUGCCGGUCGAUACUGCCGGACUAGAGUUCGGAAGAGGCGAGUGGAAUUCCCGGUGUAGCGGUGAAAUGCGCAGAUAUCGGGAGGAACACCUAUGGCGAAGGCAGCUCGCUGGGACGUUACUGACGCUGAGACGCGAAAGCGUGGGGAGCAAACGGG